AGUGAACGCUGGCGGUAGGCCUAACACAUGCGAGUCGAACGGCAGCACAGUAAGAGCUUGCUCUUACGGGUGGCGAGUGGCGGACGGGUGAGGAAUACAUCGGAAUCUACUUUUUCGUGGGGGAUAACGUAGGGAAACUUACGCUAAUACCGCAUACGACCUACGGGUGAAAGCAGGGGAUCUUCGGACCUUGCGCGAUUGAAUGAGCCGAUGUCGGAUUAGCUAGUUGGCGGGGUAAAGGCCCACCAAGGCGACGAUCCGUAGCUGGUCUGAGAGGAUGAUCAGCCACACUGGAACUGAGACACGGUCCAGACUCCUACGGGAGGCAGCGGUGGGGAAUAUUGGACAAUGGGCGCAAGCCUGAUCCAGCAUACCGCGUGGGUGAAGAAGGCCUUCGGGUUGUAAAGCCCUUUUGUUGGGAAAGAAAAGCAGCAGGUUAAUACCCCGCUGUUCUGACGGUACCCAAAGAAUAAGCACCGGCUAACUUCGUG
rnacentral:rRNA from 1 species